AGUCGAGGGGCAGCGAGAGUGAUAGCAAUAUUACUUGUCGGCGACCGGCGCACGGGUGCGUAACGCGUAUGCAACCUACCCAUAACAGGGGGAUAACACCGAGAAAUUGGUACUAAUACCCCAUAAUAUUUGAUAAGGCAUCUUAUUGAGUUGAAAACUCCGGUGGUUAUGGAUGGGCAUGCGUUGUAUUAGUUAGUUGGUGAGGUAACGGCUCACCAAGACGACGAUACAUAGGGGGACUGAGAGGUUAACCCCCCACAUUGGUACUGAGACACGGACCAAACUCCUACGGGAGGCAGCAGUGAGGAAUAUUGGUCAAUGGACGCAAGUCUGAACCAGCCAUGCCGCGUGCAGGAAGACGGCUCUAUGAGUUGUAAACUGCUUUUGUACGAGGGUAAACGCAGAUACGCGUAUCUGUCUGAAAGUAUCGUACGAAUAAGGAUCGGCUAACUCCGUGCCAGCAGCCGCGGUAAUACGGAGGAUUCAAGCGUUAUCCGGAUUUAUUGGGUUUAAAGGGUGCGUAGGCGGUUUGAUAAGUUGGAGGUGAGAUGUUAGGGCUUAACCCUGAAACUGCCUCCAAUACUGUUGGACUAGAGAGUAGUUGCGGUAGGCGGAAUGUAUGGUGUAGCGGUGAAAUGCUUAGAGAUCAUA
rnacentral:rRNA from 1 species